rnacentral:rRNA from 1 species
ACUCCUACGGGAGGCAGCAGUGGGGAAUAUUGGACAAUGGGCGAAAGCCUGAUCCAGCCAUGCCGCGUGUGUGAAGAAGGUCUUCGGAUUGUAAAGCACUUUAAGUUGGGAGGAAGGGCAUUAACCUAAUACGUUAGUGUUUUGACGUUACCGACAGAAUAAGCACCGGCUAACUCUGUGCCAGCAGCCGCGGUAAUACAGAGGGGUGCAAGCGUUAAUCGGAAUUACUGGGCGUAAAGCGCGCGUAGGUGGUUUGUUAAGUUGGAUGUGAAAUCCCCGGGGCUCAACCUGGGAACUGCAUUCAAAACUGACUGACUAGAGUAUGGUAGAGGGUGGUGGAAUUUCCUGUGUAGCGGUGAAAUGCGUAGAUAUAGGAAGGAACACCAGUGGCGAAGGCGACCACCUGGACUAAUACUGACACUGAGGUGCGAAAGCGUGGGGAGCAAACAGGAUUAGAUA